rnacentral:rRNA from 1 species
CACGAAGCUCAAUGAGCUAGUUUUUAUAUGAGGUUUGACAAGAAAUAUGUAGCAUAAUGUUUAAAUAAUGAAGACUAGGGGUGAAAGGCUUACCAAAUUGAGUGAUAACUUGUUUCUUUUGAAAUAUAUUAAGUAUAAAGACAAGCUUUGAGUUAUAAGAUUCUAGGCGGGAACAAAUGAAUAUUAUUGAUUAGCAUGUAAAGUUUAACAAUGAACAUAAUGAAGAGUUAAUAUUUAAUUAUAGAGAAUGUUAUUAUUAAGAAGAAAUAGGAUAAUUCUACAUACUAUUUAUUCUGUUAAUAUGAGUAUUAUAUAAGAUGAAAAUAAUGAACUCGGCAAAUUAUACUUUCAACUGUUUAUCAAAAACAUAGCCUAUUGUCAUAUAUAAUAGGUAAUUUCUGCUCAGUGAAAUUUAAACAGCCGCAGUACCCUGACUGUGCAAAGGUAGCGCAAUCAAUUGGCUUUUAAUUGGAGUCCUGUAUGAAGAACAUAUGGGGGUUAGCUGUAUCAUUUUUAGAAACUAAAAAUUGCUUAGUAGGUGAAAAAACCUAUAUUAAAACAAUAGACGAGAAGACCCUAGAAAUUUUAAGAAUGCGCAAGAGAAACUUUUUGUUGGGGCAACAGAGUAAAAACCUACAAGAUUGACAUGAAAUUAUGUAGAACGAAUAAAUUACUCUAGGGAUAACAGCAUAAUAUAAAAAAGUUUGUGACCUCGAUGUUGGACUAGGAAAUUAGGGUUUAGAA